CCUACGGGGGGCAGCAGUCGAGAAUCAUUCACAAUGGGGGAAACCCUGAUGGUGCGACGCCGCGUGGGGGAAUGAAGGUCUUCGGAUUGUAAACCCCUGUCAUGUGGGAGCAAAUUAAAAAGAUAGUACCCCAAGAGGAAGAGACGGCUAACUCUGUGCCAGCAGCCGCGGUAAUACAGAGGUCUCAAGCGUUGUUCGGAAUCACUGGGCGUAAAGCGUGCGUAGGCUGUUUCGUAAGUCGUGUGUGAAAGGCGCGGGCUCAACCCGCGGACGGCACAUGAUACUGCGAGACUAGAGUAAUGGAGGGGGAACCGGAAUUCUCGGUGUAGCAGUGAAAUGCGUAGAUAUCGAGAGGAACACUCGUGGCGAAGGCGGGUUCCUGGACAUUAACUGACGCUGAGGCACGAAGGCCAGGGGAGCGAAAGGGAUUAGAUACCCCGGUAGUC
rnacentral:rRNA from 1 species